AUGUACUCUGCUGCAGUGCUGCCCCUGGGACACUGCACACUGCACUUCACUGCAGUCCACUGUGUUAUCCAAGGCUGUGCUGUGUGGUGCUCUGCACACACUGCACUGGUGCUCGACCACACUGCACACACCGCACACACUGCACUAGUGCUAGAACACACUGCACACACUGCAUACACUACACUGGUGCUAGGCCACACUGCACAUGCUGCAGUAGUGCUAGAACGCACUGCACACGCUGCACUAGUGUUAGAACACACUGCACACACUGCACUAGUGUUAGAACACACUGCACACACUGCACUGGUGCUAGACCACACUGCACACACCGCACUGGUACUAGAUCAUACUGCACACACACACACAGUGCUAGACCACACUGCACACACUGCACUGGUGCUAGACCACGCUGCACACACUGCACACACUACACUAGUGCUAGACCACACUGCACAGGCUGCACUAGUGUUAGAACACACUGCACACACUGCACUAGUGUUAGAACACACUGCACACACUGCACUGGUGCUAGACCACACUGCACACACUGCACUAGUGUUAGAACACACUGCACACACUGCACUGGUGUUAGAACACACUGCACACACUGCACUGGUGCUAGACCACACUGCACACACUGCACUGGUGCUAGACCACACUGCACACACUGCACUGGUGCUAGACCACACUGCACACACUGCACUAGUGUUAGAACACACUGCACACACUGCACUGGUACUAGAUCAUACUGCACACACACACACACACAGUGCUAGACCACACUGCACACACUGCACUGGUGCUAGACCACACUGCACACACUGCAGUAGUGCUAGGACACACUGCACAUGCUGCCCUGCUGCCGCACCACACUGCAUUGCCGCGCUCUGCUGCACUGUGGUGUCCUGCCCUGCACAGUGCUGUGCCCUGCAGCUGUGUGGUGUUACAGUAGAGAGUGCAGUGUGCAGAGUGCAGUGUAGAGUCCAGGACACUGCGCAGCACAGGGCCGCAUAG
rnacentral:lncRNA from 1 species